CUACGGGCGGCAGCAGUGGGGAAUAUUGCACAAUGGAGGAGACUCUGAUGCAGCAACGCCGCGUGGAGGAUGACACUUUUCGGAGCGUAAACUCCUUUUAUAUAGGAAGAAGAUGACGGUACUAUAUGAAUAAGCGCCGGCUAACUCCGUGCCAGCAGCCGCGGUAAUACGGAGGGCGCAAGCGUUACUCGGAAUCACUGGGCGUAAAGAGCGUGUAGGCGGAUUAAAAAGUCAGAAGUGAAAUCCUAUAGCUUAACUAUAGAACUGCUUCUGAAACUUUUAAUCUAGAAUAUGGGAGAGGUAGAUGGAAUUACUGGUGUAGGGGUAAAAUCCGUAGAGAUCAGAAGGAAUACCGAUUGCGAAGGCGAUCUACUAGAACAUUAUUGACGCUGAGACGCGAAAGCGUGGGGAGCAAACAGGAUUAGAUACCCGAGUAGUC
rnacentral:rRNA from 1 species